AUUGAACGCUGGCGGAAUGCUUUACACAUGCAAGUCGAACGGCAGCACGGGGGCAGCCCUGGUGGCGAGUGGCGAACGGGUGAGUAAUACAUCGGAACGUGCCCGGCUGUGGGGGAUAACGUAGCGAAAGAUACGCUAAUACCGCAUACGAUCUGAGGAUGAAAGCGGGGGACCUUCGGGCCUCGCGCGAUCGGAGCGGCCGAUGUCAGAUUAGGUAGUUGGUGGGGUAAAGGCCUACCAAGCCGACGAUCUGUAGCUGGUCUGAGAGGACGACCAGCCACACUGGGACUGAGACACGGCCCAGACUCCUACGGGAGGCAGCAGUAGGGAAUUUUGGACAAUGGGCGCAAGCCUGAUCCAGCCAUUCCGCGUGCAGGACGAAGGCCUUCGGGUUGUAAACUGCUUUUGUACGGAACGAAAAGGCUCUGGCUAAUACCUGGGGCUCAUGACGGUACCGUAAGAGUAAGCACCGGCUAACUACGUG
rnacentral:rRNA from 1 species